AAGUCUGUGCGCACGGCCAAUACCUUUAUAUAUAUAUAUGUGUGUGUGUGUGUGUGUGUGUGUGUGUGUGUUAAACAUGCUUAC
rnacentral:miRNA from 1 species